AAAUAUAAAAAGAAAACGCGGGCCUUGCUAAUUCAUCGUAAGUUUAUGUGGAUUUUACUACGAAAUAUAAGUCUAUAUAUAUACCCGAACCAAAUCAUUUAUCAUUUUGUUGUCAUUUCCUCUCCUCCUCGUAGCAAGGUACUCCUCUCUACUUCCUCUCUAAUUUAGCGUAGGUGGUUAGUUUAGGGUAAUUAGUGUUGAUUAGGUGGUUAUUGUAGGGAACUUGUAGAUAGGUUUAUGGAAUUUGUUGAUAAUAUAGGAUGAUGAUUUUUAAAUGUUAAUUAAUAAUAUUUAUAUGUUUUAUAUGGUUAAUAAUGAAAAUUAAAAUUUGUUUUUCAGAUGGUUCGAAAGAACAAGCUUACACCGCAUUACAUAGAGAUAUUUGGUGACCUGUUAGUCGUACAUGCGCAUCAUCUUCUUCAGCUCUCGGUUCUUUGUUUCCGGAGACUGUCCCCGCUCUCA
rnacentral:lncRNA from 1 species